rnacentral:rRNA from 1 species
UACAGAGGGUGCAAACGUUGCUCGGAAUCAUUGGGCGUAAAGCGCACGUAGGCGGCUCAGCAAGCGGGGAGUGAAAGCCCUCGGCUUAACCGAGGAAGUGCUUUCCGAACUACUGAGCUUGAAUACCGGAGAGGAUCGCGGAAUUCCCGGUGUAGAGGUGAAAUUCGUAGAUAUCGGGAGGAACACCAGUGGCGAAGGCGGCCCACUGGCUCGACACUGACGCUGAGGUGCGAAAGCGUGGGGAGCAAACAGG